UACAGAGGGUGCGAGCGUUAAUCGGAAUUACUGGGCGUAAAGCGCGCGUAGGCGGCUUUACAAGUCGGGUGUGAAAUCCCCAGGCUUAACCUGGGAACUGCAUUCGAGACUGCAUUGCUAGAGUAUGGGAGAGGGAAGUGGAAUUUCCGGUGUAGCGGUGAAAUGCGUAGAUAUCGGAAGGAACAUCAGUGGCGAAAGCGACUUCCUGGACCAAUACUGACGCUCAUGUGCGAAAGCGUGGGGAGCAAACAGG
rnacentral:rRNA from 1 species